ensembl:lncRNA
AAAUGUAUUUUUCGAUGCUUCAAAAAAUUCUAACGGACCCUCUGAUGUCACAUGGACUACUUUGAAGAUGUUUUUAUUACCUUUCUGGACGUGGACAGUAUACCGUACAUACAUUCUCAAUGGAGGGACAGGAAGUUCUCGGACUAAAUCUAAAAUAUCUUAUACUGUGUUCCGAAGAUGAACGGAGGUCUCACGGGUUUGGAACGACAUGAGGGUAAUGGAAGACGAGGACCAAAUCAUGGAUAUUCUUAAUUUUACACAAAGUGCUUUGCAAAGAGAAACUUUUGGAUGUGCUGUAGUAAGUUACUGAUCACCUCAUGAGCUGAACAAAUCCCAAAUAUAUUGCCAGUAUCACCCAGGAUCCAUCAGAAAUGCAACCCAGGACUGGCACCAGCACCACAACUUGCCUGCUGACAUUGCUUGAGGAAGAGGCCUACAAUCCUUAGAGGACAUAAAGAGAGAAAGACACUCUAACUCAGGGCUAUUCAGUUAGCUUCAUUUGAGGUCCAGAUUAUCAAACUGAAAAUUUGAAGGGGAGUAGGGGCCAUCCCAAUCUCUUUCUGGGGUCCCUUUAAAAUUAGAAAUUAAAUGUAAAUGCCUAUUCAGCAGUAAAAUGAAAUAAUAUUACAUACAGUAGCAUCUAGGCUAUAAAAGGUUAACAUUAGUGCUAUCCAAAUGAAUAUAGAAACAACAUAAAGAUGGCGUUUUAAAUAUGUUUAAUGACAUCUUUUUACUAGCCUAUUAUUAAUGAAGACCAGUAUCAUUGAUACCAAUAAUGUUACCGAUGUCUCUAUUAUAUUAAUUUUCCCCUCAAUUUUAGCCAUUAAUUAUAGCCAUUUAACAUGACAGUAUAAUUGAAAGCCAUUAUUUUCAACAUUUAUUAGGCUUUGAACAAUAAAACAAAUUUUAAUUUAGGUGAACUUAAAAAAAUCUUAACAUAAAUUCUAAAUUGUAUGCAUAAGCUAUAUUAAUGAAACUUUAUUAAGAUACAAAAUUUAAUCAGCAAGCAGAACAGUCGAGUGUUUUUUCUUUUUCUUUUGUUCUUUGAUAAGUCACACACUACAGCAGGUUUCACUUUAAAAGCAGCGCUGUCUCUUUAAAUCCUGAUGCACAUGAUGCCUAUCUGAUACAUAUCAGAUUCCAUUUCAAAAGGGAACUCCACGCUGCGUCCUCUAGAGGGCGCUAUGGGAACGCCUCCAGCGUGACCGGUGUCUGAAGCAUGAAUGA